GGACCAGUGGCGCAGUGGUUAGCGCAUCAGUCUUAUACUUGUUACAACCACUCGUUGGGAGUAACAUAGCAUGACAUCUGGGGGUCCCGGGUUCAACCCCCGGUUGGUCCA
rnacentral:tRNA from 1 species